rnacentral:rRNA from 1 species
GAUGAACGCUAGCGGGAGGCCUAACACAUGCAAGCCGAGCGGUAUUUGUCUUUCGGGACAGAGAGAGCGGCGUACGGGUGCGGAACACGUGUGCAACCUGCCUUUAUCUGGGGGAUAGCCUUUCGAAAGGAAGAUUAAUACCCCAUAAUAUAAUGAAUGGCAUCAUUUAUUAUUGAAAACUCCGGUGGAUAGAGAUGGGCACGCGCAAGAUUAGAUAGUUGGUGAGGUAACGGCUCACCAAGUCGAUGAUCUUUAGGGGGCCUGAGAGGGUGAUCCCCCACACUGGUACUGAGACACGGACCAGACUCCUACGGGAGGCAGCAGUGAGGAAUAUUGGACAAUGGGUUAGCGCCUGAUCCAGCCAACCCGCGUGAAGGACGACGGCCCUAUGGGUUGUAAACUUCUUUUGUACAGGGAUAAACCUACUCUCGUGAGAGUAGCUGAAGGUACUGUACGAAUAAGCACCGGCUAACUCCGUGCCAGCAGCCGCCGCUG